AGAGGUUUAAGGCCAAAUGCUUGAGGAAAGCCCUGCUGUCACAAGACACAGCUCUUGGUGCUCUAUGUGCUGUAGGAGUUCACACUGGUCCAGAACCAAGGUCCACAUCCACAGAAGUGCACGGCUGAGGUUGCCUGCACUGUGGAGCCUUUGACAUCUGAUGGCCUGGCACCGUAUCUUGUGGGCCGUGAGAAUCCUCCAGUGCUCCCAGAAGCUGCUGAAGACCCUCCAUCACCAAGGAUUUGCCAGGAGGUUGAUAUGCUCCCAAGGGACUAAAAUCCAGGUUUGGGGUAUGGCUGGAUCAUCCCUGACCUUCCCCGCUCCAGGAUCACGGUGUGGAUGCCCAUCAGGAUCGGGGAAGUUAGCAGGGAAAUAUCAGGAAACUUCUGAAGGUGCUAAUUAAACAACUUUAAGUUAUAAACAUU